rnacentral:rRNA from 1 species
AUUGAACGCUGGCGGCAUGCUUUACACAUGCAAGUCGAACGGUAACAGGCCGCAAGGUGCUGACGAGUGGCGAACGGGUGAGUAAUGCAUCGGAACGUGCCCAGUCGUGGGGGAUAACGCAGCGAAAGCUGUGCUAAUACCGCAUACGAUCUAUGGAUGAAAGCGGGGGACCGUAAGGCCUCGCGCGAUUGGAGCGGCCGAUGUCAGAUUAGGUAGUUGGUGGGGUAAAGGCCUACCAAGCCGACGAUCUGUAGCUGGUCUGAGAGGACGACCAGCCACACUGGGACUGAGACACGGCCCAGACUCCUACGGGAGGCAGCAGUGGGGAAUUUUGGACAAUGGGCGCAAGCCUGAUUCAGCAAUGCCGCGUGCAGGAAGAAGGCCUUCGGGUUGUAAACUGCUUUUGUACGGAACGAAACGGUCUGGGUUAAUACCCUGGGCUAAUGACGGUACCGUAAGAAUAAGCACCGGCUAACUACGUGCCAGCCGCCGCCGUAAGAC